UGAAGAAAUGUGUCUGUCCUGGCUGGCUGCAGGUCAUUCAGUGUUGAUUCUAAAUGUAUGUGCCCAACAACUUUCUUCAUAGGCUGAGUGCACUUCUGUGUUUGGGAAUCAUCAUGGAGAUUUGGCCCGAAGCACAUUUUUUUACAGAAAAUAUUUUUGCAUAAAAUCAGCUUUUAAAAUUGGUGGAAGCUCUCAUUUUGAAAUGAAAACAUUGGAAUGAGUUAUCAUAAUCCCUGUUUCAGAGUUCUUGCAAUCAGAAGUGAUGCUGCAUACCAGGAUAAUGAGACUGGGAGACCUGCUCCGAUGGGAGGGCACGGGUGCAGUGCACGAUGCUGUCAGCCGCCGGGGUACAGGGAGAGGUUUCCUUUGGGGAUUUAUUUGUUUUCAAAAGCAACUUGCUAUGGAGUCUGUGUGCCACCCAUUUGGAUGUACAAGAGAACGACCUUCAUCCUAAGGAAGAUCUCAGCCAUCAGUCUCCUGUGUCCUCGACAUCGGUGCAUGCUGUGACACCUAAAGCUGUGCCUGCCGCAGGGGUGGCUGCCGGAGCAGAGCCCGGAGUCAGGGCCAGCGACUGCGGCAUGGAAAUUCAUCUCAGCACCAGAUCCCCCUGCACUCCUGCUGUUGUCUGUCUUACACUGGCGUUUGAUACUCUCUGCUGAACGUCGACAUUUAAGUGUUUCAUCAAGGACGCUACGUUGCAAGAGCUAUCAGAUUUCCCACAUUUGCAAACAACAGCUAUGGUAAACGCUACCCUGCACUGGAGCGCUGUAAGGUAAAAAUAUUACAGUAUACAAGAUAAUCUUAUUAAAGAAUGUUCGCAGUGGAAUUGAAGCUUUUUUGUAUUGAUUUAAAGGUUUGAAACUACUGGGCUGUGUUCUUUGUGAUUUAUCUCUCCCUAUGGCUUGCUGUUUGACCUCUGGAAUCCAAAAGCUGAGCUCAGUUGCAUCGCUGUCGCUGGAUUAACGUUGUUCCUUGAACUGAACACAUUACCACAGUAUAUGUUAUUUCUGGGUAUUCCUGGGAAGUGCGUUUCACAUCAUUAUGAAUAUUUCAGUACACUGUUGUCGAAGCUGGGAUCGUGUAAGGAUCAAAGAGAGGCUAGGUGUGUAACAAAGAGACCGUAGCCAUUAGUGGACUAGCUAAUACAGCUGGAAAAGGCGGAGAGGAGUUUUUGGCUGGGAAUCACUUUAUCAGCAGAGGGGUGAAAGGAUGCUUUACCCAACA